GAGAGUUUGAUCCUGGCUCAGGAUGAACGCUGGCGGCGUGCCUAAUACAUGCAAGUCGAGCGAACAGACAAGGAGCUUGCUCCUUUGACGUUAGCGGCGGACGGGUGAGUAACACGUGGGUAACCUACCUAUAAGACUGGGAUAACUUCGGGAAACCGGAGCUAAUACCGGAUAAUAUUUCGAACCGCAUGGUUCGAUAGUGAAAGAUGGUUUUGCUAUCACUUAUAGAUGGACCCGCGCCGUAUUAGCUAGUUGGUAAGGUAACGGCUUACCAAGGCGACGAUACGUAGCCGACCUGAGAGGGUGAUCGGCCACACUGGAACUGAGACACGGUCCAGACUCCUACGGGAGGCAGCAGUAGGGAAUCUUC
rnacentral:rRNA from 1 species